AGCUUCGGUCUUAUCCGAAAAAGAAUA
rnacentral:tRNA from 1 species